rnacentral:rRNA from 1 species
UGGAUCCAGACUUUGAUUCUGGCUCAGGACGAACGCUGGCGGCGCGCCUAACACAUGCAAGUCGAACGAGCGAGAGAGAGCUUGCUUUCUCGAGCGAGUGGCGAACGGGUGAGUAACGCGUGAGGAACCUGCCUCAAAGAGGGGGAUAACAGUUGGAAACGACUGCUAAUACCGCAUAAGCCCACGGGUCGGCAUCGACCAGAGGGAAAAGGAGCAAUCCGCUUUGAGAUGGCCUCGCGUCCGAUUAGCUAGUUGGUGAGGUAACGGCCCACCAAGGCGACGAUCGGUAGCCGGACUGAGAGGUUGAACGGCCACAUUGGGACUGAGACACGGCCCAGACUCCUACGGGAGGCAGCAGUGGGGAAUAUUGCACAAUGGGGGAAACCCUGAUGCAGCGACGCCGCGUGGAGGAAGAAGGUCUUCGGAUUGUAAACUCCUGUUGUUGGGGAAGAUAAUGACGGUACCCAACAAGGAAGUGACGGCUAACUACGUGCCAGCAGCCGCGGUAAAACGUACGUCACAAGCGUUGUCCGGAAUUACUGGGUGUAAAGGGAGCGCAGGCGGGAAGACAAGUUGGAAGUGAAAUCUAUGGGCUCAACCCAUAAACUGCUUUCAAAACUGUUUUUCUUGAG